rnacentral:rRNA from 1 species
UACGGUAGGGCGCAAGCGUUUGUCCGGAAUUAUUGGGCGUAAAGAGCUCGUAGGCGGUCUGUCGCGUCCGUUGUGAAAAACUCGAGGCUCAACCUCGGGCUUGCAGUGGAUACGGGGCAGACUAAGAGUGCGGUAGGGGAGACUUGGAAUUCCUGGUGUAGCGGUGGAAUGCGCAGAGUAUCAGGAGGAACACCGAUGGUCGAAGGCAGCCCCCUGGGCCAAUAUGACGCUCAUGCACGAAAGCGUGGGGAGCAAACAGGAAUUAGAAACCC